AACGAACGCUGGCGGCAGGCCUAACACAUGCAAGUCGAGCGAGACCUUCGGGUCUAGCGGCGGACGGGUGAGUAACGCGUGGGAACGUGCCCUUUGCUACGGAAUAGCCCCGGGAAACUGGGAGUAAUACCGUAUGUGCCCUUCGGGGGAAAGAUUUAUCGGCAAAGGAUCGGCCCGCGUUGGAUUAGGUAGUUGGUGGGGUAAUGGCCUACCAAGCCGACGAUCCAUAGCUGGUUUGAGAGGAUGAUCAGCCACACUGGGACUGAGACACGGCCCAGACUCCUACGGGAGGCAGCAAGGGGGAAUCUUAGACAAUGGGGGAAACCCUGAUCUAGCCAUGCCGCGUGAGCGAUGAAGGCCUUAGGGUUGUAAAGCUCUUUCAGGUGGGAAGAUAAUGACGGUACCACCAGAAGAAGCCCCGGCUAACUCCGUGCCAGCAGCCGCAGUAA
rnacentral:rRNA from 1 species